CCUGAAGCUGAAAGACAAAGCAGCAGCUUUGCUAACUCAACCAAUCCAAAACCACUCCUGCAUAUAAGUAAGAUAUCCACACUACCUCAUCAGUUUUCAUACGAGGGAACUUUCCUCUGCUCUCAUCCAACUAAUUCCCCAGCCUGGAGGAGCACAAAGGCUUAAGUUGCUAUGCCAGUUCUCAACCAGAUGUUCAUCAGAUUCUGCAACUUUAUGAAGCUGAUAAUGGCUCCUACGGAACACACAUAUAUGUACUCAAAUAGUUGUUCUAUGGACACUGCACCUCACUUCAACAACAUAGUGGUCCUAUAAUGCAGAACUAUCUUUCAGGUGACUCGGAAACUGGACGCUUGUUCAGGCAUAAAAACAAAGUAACUGCAGUACUGGAAUCUGCACAAAUGAUGACAUUAAAAACCUUAUACUAUAUUUUAUACACAUCAUAAUUUCAUGCUUCA